rnacentral:misc_RNA from 1 species
CCUCCAUGAAGUCUUCCAUUUGAAGUACCCGCUCCACAGCAAUAAGAUACAUUAGCUCAUCAUCCACUUCUUCUCCAAAUCUCUUUUUCCAUAUUGAUUGAUGCCACUUUUAAAAUAGCAAAUAAACAGCGGUAACAAAGAUGCUUGAGCUAAGAAACGAUAUCACAGUAAUAUAUAUGGAAAACAAGCAUUCAGUUGCAUUAAUUGGAUAUCAUUCAGGUUAAGGAAACAUCAAAAACCUACUAGUUUAUAUGAUGUGUGUGUGUGUGUGUGCAAGUAUAAGCAUGCCUAUUGCUUACAAUAAGGCCUCACAUGGAUUCAAUGAAGUUUAAGCUUAUAAAUGAUUUAACCUUGUCAUCAGGCUUCCAUCCCAGAUGAAGUAAUAUAAAAGUGAGAUUUUGCUUGGCUUUUCAAUGCCGUACUGCAAAGUUUAAAGCAACAUAUUCAACAAUGAAAAUCGUUAAGGCGAAGACUCCCUCAAAAAGAAAUUCUAAGGUUCUUGGAGACUGCAUAAAAGAUUUGGCUCGCAAUCAGUCUCCUUGCUGACAUGUUCCUAACUAUACAGCUUUUUAUUUUUUUUAUGGUGAUUAGCACUAGCAAGAUUACAAUGGUUGUUUGACCAAGAGAUACAUCUUGAUUUUCAUGAAAGUAUUGGAGAAAGAGGUUAAACUGGCUUCUUUAAAACUAAAAGCUAUGUAAAUGAUUAAUGGGAUGAUGAAUUUCAAUUGAAAUAUAUUAAAAUUAGUAUAUGAUCAAGAAUGAAAAUUUUAUAGGUGUUAUGAGAAUAUAUUCUCUGUACAUAAAUAAAUGGUUGAACGUGUACCAUGAUGUUAGGAAUUCUCUUAUUGGUCCUCCAAGUAUUAAUGCAAGUUCACAAAAUCAGGAGCAAAGAAUACUAUAAAAGUAUGAAACUAUUCAACCAACUUAAAGGCUUGCUCAGGCGUUAAGAAAUCAAGGAAGACACAGAACUAGUAAAAAAUUAAUAGAUCACAAUUUUCAUCGAAUUGAAUAUGAAAAUGUUGAAUCGAUAGUUUGUAACCACACCUAGGCAUGAAUCUAUACAAGCCAAAAAAAAUGUGGGGAAAUACACUGGUAAUAUUUAAGCAAGAGUAGAAAAAGUUGUGGCUGUUGAGAUCCAACACAUUGGAGGAAAUUAUAAGAAAAUUUGAAGUAAUGAUGAGGGUAUGGGUGAAUUAUAGGCAGAUCAAAUUCUUGAUUGUCAAGUUAAACCCACAACCACUAGUCUCAUAACCUUGCUAUUUCUUCAAUUUUUUGAUGAGUCACAACACAAUGAUUUUGUUGGGUGUACAUAUAUAUUUAUUUUAUAUAAUAGCAAAAUUUUCAUAAUUAUUUUAUGUUCAAAG